AGAGUUUGAUCCUGGCUCAGGACGAACGCUGGCGGCGCGCCUAACACAUGCAAGUCGAACGGUGAAGAGGAGCUUGCUCCUCGGAUCAGUGGCGGACGGGUGAGUAACACGUGAGCAACCUGGCUCUAAGAGGGGGACAACAGUUGGAAACGACUGCUAAUACCGCAUAACGUAUCGGGAUGGCAUCUUCCUGAUACCAAAGAUUUUAUCGCUUAGAGAUGGGCUCGCGUCUGAUUAGAUAGUUGGCGGGGUAACGGCCCACCAAGUCGACGAUCAGUAGCCGGACUGAGAGGUUGAACGGCCACAUUGGGACUGAGACACGGCCCAGACUCCUACGGGAGGCAGCAGUGGGGGAUAUUGGACAAUGGGGGCAACCCUGAUCCAGCGACGCCGCGUGAGGGAAGAAGGUUUUCGGAUUGUAAACCUCUGUUGACGGAGAAAAAAAUGAUGGUAUCCGUUUAGAAAGCCACGGCUAACUACGUGCCAGCAGCCGCGGUAAUACGUAGGUGGCAAGCGUUGUCCGGAAUUACUGGGUGUAAAGGGAGUGUAGGCGGGAUAUCAAGUCAGAAGUGAAAAUUACGGGCUCAACUCGUAACCUGCUUUUGAAACUGACAUUCUUGAGUGAAGUAGAGGCAAGCGGAAUUCCUAGUGUAGCGGUGAAAUGCGUAGAUAUUAGGAGGAACACCAGUGGCGAAGGCGGCUUGCUGGGCUUUUACUGACGCUGAGGCUCGAAAGCGUGGGGAGCAAACAGGAUUAGAUACCCUGGUAGUCCACGCCGUAAACGAUGAUUACUAGGUGUGGGGGGACUGACCCCUUCCGUGCCGGAGUUAACACAAUAAGUAAUCCACCUGGGGAGUACGACCGCAAGGUUGAAACUCAAAGGAAUUGACGGGGGCCCGCACAAGCAGUGGAGUAUGUGGUUUAAUUCGACGCAACGCGAAGAACCUUACCAGGUCUUGACAUCGAGUGACCGCCUAAGAGAUUAGGCUUUCCCUUCGGGGACACAAAGACAGGUGGUGCAUGGUUGUCGUCAGCUCGUGUCGUGAGAUGUUGGGUUAAGUCCCGCAACGAGCGCAACCCUUAUCAUUAGUUGCUACGCAAGAGCACUCUAAUGAGACUGCCGUUGACAAAACGGAGGAAGGUGGGGAUGACGUCAAAUCAUCAUGCC
rnacentral:rRNA from 1 species